rnacentral:rRNA from 1 species
ACGGAGGAUGCAAGCGUUAUCCGGAUUCAUUGGGUUUAAAGGGUGCGCAGGUGGGAAAAUAAGUCAGUGGUGAAAUACUGCCGCUUAACGGUAGAAUUGCCAUUGAUACUGUUUUUCUUGAGUAUGGUUGAGGUAGGUGGAAUGUGUUGUGUAGCGGUGAAAUGCGUAGAUAUUAGGAGGAACACCAGUGGCGAAGGCGGCUUUCUGGACUGACACUGACGCUGAGGCACGAAAGCGUGGGGAGCAAACAG